UAAAAAAAAUUUAAAGGGCUGCAGUAUAUUGACUGUACAAAGGUAGCAUAAUCAAUAGUCUUUUAAUUGAAGACUUGUAUGAAUGAUUUAAUGAAAUAUAAACUGUCUCUUUAUUAAAAUUAGAAUUUAAUUUUUUAGUUAAAAAGCUAAAAUUAGAAUAAAAGACGAGAAGACCCUAUAGAGUUUUAUAUUUAUAGGUAUAUAAAAAUAUUAUAUAAUUAAAAAAUUAUAUAUAAAUAAAUAUUUUAUUGGGGUGAUAGAAAAAUAAAAUAAACUUUUUUUAAUAAUAAACAUUGAUUUAUGAAUAAAUGAUCCAUAAUUUAUGAUUACAAGAUAAAUUACCUUAGGGAUAACAGCGUAAUUUUUUUUUUUAGUUCAAAUAAAAANAAAAGUUUGCNACCUCGAUGUUGGAUUAAGAUAAAAUUUAAAUGCAAAAGUUUAAAAUUUUGAUCUGUUCNAUCAUUAAAAUCUUACA
rnacentral:rRNA from 1 species